CCUACGGGCGGCAGCAGUGGGGGAUAUUGCACAAUGGGGGAAACCCUGAUGCAGCGACGCCGCGUGGGUGAAGAAGCGCCUCGGCGCGUAAAGCCCUGUCAGCAGGGAAGAAAAUGACGGUACCUGAAGAAGAAGCCCCGGCUAACUACGUGCCAGCAGCCGAGGUAAUACGUAGGGGGCAAGCGUUAUCCGGAUUUACUGGGUGUAAAGGGGGCGCAGACGGCGAUGCAAGCCAGGAGUGAAAGCCCGGGGCCAAACCCCGGGACUGCUCUUGGAACUGCGUGGCGAGAGUGCAGGAGGGGCAGGCGGAAUUCCUGGUGUAGCGGUGAAAUGCGUAGAUAUCAGGAGGAACACCGGUGGCGAAGGCGACCUGCUGGACUGCAACUGACGUUGAGGCCCGAAAGCGUGGGGAGCAAACAGGAUUAGAUACCCUUGUAGUC
rnacentral:rRNA from 1 species